AACACCACUUCGAACAUGUGACGCUCCGUUGAGAAAUACCCCUUUUUGGGCACCUUUAGUCCAAUUGACACUGUUUCUGGUGACUUGAUUAGACGGAAUACUUUCCAAUUUCUUACCUGCCACAAGCACCUGAAAGUGAACACAGAGUGCCGGAUCGGCCAGUUGAGUCUCCCACUUCCAUCGAAGACUCUCGAUUUUUCUGAAGUCUGGGAUCUGCUUUGCCAAGGCUUCCAACUCCUUCUGAUCCACCCAAGUCGGCAGAGAAGCGUCUUGGGAUUGUUGUGUUACCAGUAGUGGGCUCGACAUUCUCCUCCGUUCUCGAUUGCAAACUAAACUUGGGCCGGCAAUUUUAUGGGAACCAAGAAAACCCAGUGAGUACUAUUCACACAUGUGUACACAAGAAUCGAUAAGUGCGUUGAUAGGGAAUGUGGGUAGUAUGAUUGAAAUUUAUGAAGUCAGGCAAACAUGAUUGUGGACUUUUAAGUUAUCUUAGAUAAGUCCGAACACACUGUUAAAUCGCACAAAAUGAGUGAGAUACGAUUGGUUCCGACUUGCACACUGUUUAUUGGAUAGUUAAGUAGCUGUGAAAACAGCGGCUGUGUUUGAUCCUAAGUCCCAUCUAUCAUGACCUAAUUGAGUUCGAAAAUAUUGUCGAAAAAUUGCCAAAAAUGCCAGAAAUGGUAGCAAAAUUCAAUUAAUUUGUCAUAGCCAUUUGACAUGCAGUGCAAAAGGGGAGGGAUAGGAUAGUCAAUCUCAGUCGAUGGAUGAACAUAGUGGAUGAACAUAGUGGAUGAACAUGGGAUGAAGUUAAUAUAGGCCACGUGUCUUAAUAUAAUAUUUUAAUGCAAUCGCAAAAUUCCCACACCACAGGUGCCGGAAAGAUCAACUUUAGAAGUUAAGAUCAGCAUAUUUAUUUAAUUCAAAGAGUUUACUAACGCGCUAAUCGGCGACACGUGAGCACGCUUCAUAGGCGAGGGGAUGUGGCAAACAACCCCUAAGGAGAAGCUAUCUAAUUCGGCAUGAAGUGUCACAAAUUCAUCAAAACAUAUUGUACACCAAACUACCAAAACAUUGGAAACAAGGGACGCAGUCAACCCCCAGGUAGCAGGCCACUUUCCGACUUCCGAUCCCAAUGUCAAUGCAAUAUCCGUUCCGAAUUAAUUUGCUGCCCGGAAAAAAGGGCGCUAAUCUGUUCGCGAUGGGCGUUGAACGCAAAAAUUCCUUGGUAUUUAGCCCGGUUGCGGGGAAUCCCUCAAGUGUUACACUUGUUCCUGGGUUGUCCUUGGUUAGGGGUUGCUACAAUUGACUGCGAACUGCCGUCCUCCCUUUUGGCAUCUCCCCUCCGAGUGCCUCAAUUUAUUAAUAAUAAUUUCACGCUUUGUUUGCCUUGUCAAAUUUUGUAUAAUAGUUUUCUUUCCAUUCGGCGUCCGUUUAGGAAACCUCCGUGAUUUGUAUGCAAUGUGACUUCAUUGGGACCACCGAAUGGACCUGGGCAUGUGUUGCCUUUCCAGCUGCACAAAUUCGCACGCAAAUCACGACAUGGUUCGCUUUGGUUUUGGUCCGUUUUUUUAGGAACAAGUGCGGGUUCUACUUAGGCGGAUUAUCAGGUGUACUUCGGUGGUACUUUUGGCUUUAAAGUCACCACCGAGCUUAGACAAUCAAUUUGUUUACUGUUACAAAAACCAAAUUGGAUUAUCCUCCGAUUUUGUUUAAUUGUCCUCUACUUUGCCUUUUCACAAAUAUUAAAAUUAAAAUCUUCAAUACAAAAAAAAUUUUUUUUACAGUAUCCAUUUAAGUUGGAAGUUCAAAAAUGCAAUGUUCUGGCUAAUUUAAUUGCUCCCAUGGAAACUAAUUUUUGCUGUUUACAUGACCAAUUAUGAUUUACUGAUUAAAGCAAUUAUAUUUGAAACUAAACAAUAA